CUGCCCCCUACUCACCCAGGCCUGCCAUAUGCGCUCCAGCAGACAGGAAGCGGGGCAGGGGAGGACGCAUGAUAGAGCUGAGGGCCUUAUCUCCAAGCACGAGCUCUAUUGCUCUCACUGUGCCUGGGAUUAUUCACCGGAUAGUCGUCAGCAAGAAAAAUUACACCGAGCAGCUUCCAGUGGUAUGCAGCGACACAGGGAGUGAGGCUUGCGUUGGGCUGUGUAACCAUGUUCAAGUGGAUGAGGAGAGGGAGGAAGAGUGGUGCUAGUGUGCAAAGUCCAGGUUAAGCAGAAAUGAUUGGAUAGCUAAUUAGGGGACAGAUGGAUUGCAUGGAUGAACAUGAUUUCAGGAUGAUGCAUCAUCUGCACUUCUUUACAUCUUAAUUAUCAAGGAUCUCUCCUAGCAGGAUUAUGCCUUGGCAGUAAGGGACGUCUGGCACAUCCUGUCUGAUAAUCGUCUGUGUCGUGCAAUAUCCGGUUAUGUGGCGCUGAUGGUUUACCUGACAAUCUGGACAGAUAUGCUGG
ensembl:lncRNA